AUCAGAUUGGCCGAGUGGUCAAGAUGCCAGUUCUGGCCCUCUAAUGAGGUCGCGGGUUCGUACCCCGCUUCUGAGA